rnacentral:misc_RNA from 1 species
CAACCACCAAGCCCUGCUUGUGUUGGGGCCCUGCGGCUGCCCGCAGGCCCUGAAAACCAGUGGCGGGCUCGCUAGUCACACCGAGCGCAGUAAGCACAUUCUCGCUCAGGGCGUGCGGCGGGUUCUUGCCGUGAAAAACCCCCCUGUACCCUCACAA